AACGUAGGCCUCAAGCGUUAUCCGGAUUUAUUGGGCGUAAAGCGCGUGUAGGGGGUUCGGCAAGUCAAAUGUUAAAUCUCGAGGCUUAACUUCGAGACCGCAUUCGAUACUGCCAAACUAGAGGGUGUAAGAGGUAGAUGGAACGCACGGUGUAGGGGUGAAAUCCGUUGAUAUCGUGCGGAACACCAAAGGCGAAGGCAGUCUACUGGGACAUCCCUGACCCUGAGACGCGAAAGCGUGGGGAG
rnacentral:rRNA from 1 species